AGUUGUUGACAUGUUUACCGGUGGAUACAAUAAGCUUCUAAUUAUUGAUGCCCGAUUUUGUGGAAAUUUUGAGAUGAUGCAUUAGGUUUUUGCCACAUUAUUACUGUUUAUUGUUCUUAAAUGUAAGGGUGAGGUACUGAUGUAGCACAAGCUUUUUGUGUGCCCAUUCCUAUGAUUUUUGGAAGCUGCUCUCCCAUUGAUGGCAUCAUGUUCAAUUGUUAUGCUGUGAAUCUUUCUUCUGCAUGAUUUCUUUUUUUUUUUUUUUUUUUUUUAUCAUCACCAUGAAUAUGAUAUGGAGAAAAAAUAAAGAAGAAUUCAAAUUGUUUUCUUUUUUGUGUUUACAGGAUGGUGCCAUUUUUGCUUGGAAAGGGAGUGCUAAGAACCCAAAUCCUUUUGAACUGGCCUCAUCUAUGAAAGGUCACACCAGUGCUGUUAUAUGCUUGACCAUUGGAAGAAAUAGGCUAUACUCUGGUUCUGUGGACAAUACUAUAAGGGCGUGGGACCUCGACACUUUACAGUGUGUUCAUACAUUGAGUGGUCAUAAUGAUGCUGUAACGUCUCUUAUUUGUUGGGAUCAAUAUCUACUGUCUUGUUCAUUAGACAAGACAAUAAAAGCAUGGGCUUUUACUGAAGAGGGUAACUUGGACGUGAUUUACACACAUAAUGAGGAACAUGUAAGUUAUUUAUCUCCAACUUCCAAGUUUAUAUUCUUGUGCAUUUUAAGUAGACUUUUAUUUUUUCUUAGAUCUUAGGGUUAGAUUUGUUUGAACAUUAGUUAUUGUGGUAUGAUUGACCAAGUUUAUUUGGUCCUAUGGAAUGUAGUUCCUAAUUUUUAUUUAAGCUCUCUUGGUGGAUGUAAUUUCCGUAUGCUAUCUUUUAUUUUUUAAAAAAUUGUACUCAGUUUUAAAAAUUUGAGUAAAAUCAAUCCUAUUCUCUUUGAGCUA